rnacentral:rRNA from 1 species
GUGGGGAAUCUUAGACAAUGGGCGCAAGCCUGAUCUAGCCAUGCCGCGUGAGCGAUGAAGGCCUUAGGGUUGUAAAGCUCUUUCGUGGGGGAAGAUAAUGACUGUACCCCAAGAAGAAGCCCCGGCUAACUCCGUGCCAGCAGCCGCGGUAAUACGGAGGGGGCUAGCGUUGUUCGGAAUUACUGGGCGUAAAGCGCACGUAGGCGGACUGGAAAGUCAGGGGUGAAAUCCCGGGGCUCAACCCCGGAACUGCCUUUGAAACUCCCAGUCUUGAGUUCGAGGGAGGUGAGUGGAAUUCCGAGUGUAGAGGUGAAAUUCGUAGAUAUUCGGAGGAACACCAGUGGCGAAGGCGACUCACUGGCUCGAUACUGACGCUGAGGUGCGAAAGCGUGGGGAGCAAACAGGAUUAGAAACCCUUGUAGUCC